CUGCAAGUCUAUAUCAAACUUUUCAUUUUCACAUUGUGCUGAGUUUCUCAUUCACUUAAAUUCACUUACGGAUAUUUCUUUAUGCGAAGAGUCGAAGGCAAUAGCAAAAACUGUGAGUUGUAUUUGGCUUUUGUCAGUUGAUUCAGUUUUAUACUGUUUGAAAUUUGUUCCUCGACCUUGCACUUUUGUUCAAAACAAUUUUAAGAACAUUUUGUCCCAAGUUUUGAUUGGCUGAUCAAAGCGAUUAACGCGAGCGAACAAUUUUUUUUCGACUUUCGGCGUCUUGUUGUCUAUUUUGUAUACUUGUUGGCUUUCCAAAGUCAUUGUUUGUUUUACAAUAGCUAAAAUUGGGAGUCUUACUGCUUGUUUUCAAACUAUAUAAUAGAAGAAGGAGAAAAAGCCAGAGUAUAUAUACUUAACAUCUAAACAUGACACUGGUGUGCGUAAAUAUAGCAAAGCCACGGAAUUAAUACAAGUGAGCAAGUGACCUCAGUGUACCUCAAGACCAAGCCAG